rnacentral:rRNA from 1 species
AAUACGAAGGGGGCUAGCGUUGUUCGGAUUUACUGGGCGUAAAGCGCACGUAGGCGGGUCGUUAAGUCAGGGGUGAAAUCCCGGAGCUCAACUCCGGAACUGCCUUUGAUACUGGCGACCUUGAGGCUGGAAGAGGUUAGUGGAAUUCCCAGUGUAGAGGUGAAAUUCGUAGAUAUUGGGAAGAACACCAGUGGCGAAGGCGGCUAACUGGUCCAGAUCUGACGCUGAGGUGCGAAAGCGUGGGGAGCAAACA